rnacentral:rRNA from 1 species
UACAGAGGUCUCAAGCGUUGUUCGGAUUCAUUGGGCGUAAAGGGUGCGUAGGCGGCGCGGUAAGUCGGGUGUGAAAUCUCGGGGCUUAACUCCGAAACUGCAUUCGAUACUGCCGUGCUUGAGGACUGGAGAGGAGACUGGAAUUUACGGUGUAGCGGUGAAAUGCGCAGAUAUCAGGAGGAACACCGGUGGCGAAGGCGGGUCUCUGGGCCGAUACUGACGCUGAGGAGCGAAAGCGUGGGGAGCAAACAGG